GACGUAGGGCGCGAGCGUUGUCCGGAUUUAUUGGGCGUAAAGGGCUCGUAGGCGGUUUGUCGCGUCGGGAGUGAAAUCCACUGGCUUAACUGGUGGCUUGCUUUCGAUACGGGCAGACUGGAGGUAUGCAGGGGAGAACGGAAUUCCUGGUGUAGCGGUGAAAUGCGCAGAUAUCAGGAGGAACACCGGUGGCGAAGGCGGCAUCCUGGACCGACACUGACACUGAGGAGCGAAAGCCAGGGGAGCAAACGGG
rnacentral:rRNA from 1 species